GAUGAACGCUGGCGGCGUGCCUAAUACAUGCAAGUCGAGCGAACAGACGAGGAGCUUGCUCCUCUGACGUUAGCGUCGGACAGGUGAGUAACACGUGGAUAACCUACCUAUACGACUGCGAUAACUUCGGGAAACCGGAGCUAAUACCGGAUAAUAUCUUGAACCGCAUGGUUCAAUAGUUAAAGACGGUUUUGCUGUCACUUAUAGAUGGCUCCGCGCCGCAUUAGCUAGUUGGUAAGGUAACGCCUUACCAAGCCAACGAUGCGUAGCCGACCUGAUGGGGGGAUCGGCCACACCGGAAGUGAGACACGGUCCAGAAGCCUACGGGAGGCAGCAGUAGGGAAUCUUCCGCAAUGGGCGAAAGCCUGACGGAGCAGCGCCGCGUGAGUGAUGAAGGUCGUCGGAUCGUAAAACACUGUUAUUAGGGAAGAAGAAAUGUGGAAGUAACUAUGCACGUCUUGACGGUACCUAAUCAGAAAGCCACGGCUAACUACGUG
rnacentral:rRNA from 1 species